ensembl:lncRNA
UCCGCCCGGUCUCGAACCGGGGACCGGGAGCCGAGAUUAGUCGUCCUUAACUUCCUUAACUUUUCCCAUUCAUUCUCUAUGGUAGUUCUUAUCACUACGGAUGUAAUAUUUUUCCGGCCACAAGCGGGAUUUUGGUGGCGCCGUUUCCCCCCUCGGCAGAAGUAAGGAGAUGAUUUAUUUUCUGAGUGAAAGACAGCAUCGAACGUUCUCGGGCGUUGAACGUUCUGGAAGAGUUGACAAUUAUUUUCAUCCGUGGACAAGUUAACUUUUCGCCAGGAGACACCAAGUUAACAACAAGUUAGCUUUUCAAUUUGAAAAGAAAUCAUGAAUCCCAUCAGCUUCUUCCCCGGAAAGAUGACGGUGACAUUUAGGAAGGGACCAUCGGGUCAUCUGCGGCAGGACCCAUCCUCUGAGGCCAUGAGGAUAAAACAUAAUCCUGGGCUUCAGGUCAAUAGUCCCGCUGAGAAACAUGAGCUAGUGAAGACCAGCGCUCGCACUGUGGUCAUCCAGCGAGGAGGGGAUGUGUCGGACCGACAGGAGGUGAUGGGAGAGUACCUGCUGCAGUUCGGCAAGUACCAGGGAAAAUCGUUCAAGUGGCUCCUAGAGAACGAUGUUGGCUACACCAUCUACCUGAUGAAAAAGGUAGACGAUGAGGAGAGAGCCGGGACCUUCAACCCACAGGGACACAGUAAGGACAGCCUGCUGUCUUUUCUGGACUAUGCCAGGAGCUUCCAGGAAAUACAGGACCUGAGGAACUACCUGAUCUCCAGGACGCCUACUGAACCAGUGGCGUCAGAGGGGGACAAUAUUGUCGGCUUUGGUCGCAGGGCCAAAACCACCUGGAGGCAGAUCUGGGAGAGCAGGGCAGAUGGUUAUGCUGCCUACAUCUCACGCCAAAAGUGCAUCAAAAACAGCAAGAUGUACAACCUGCAGCAGUACAUCCUCAAGCAGGAAAGGGCUGACUCCUGUCCAACACCUGCAGAAGGCUCCACCACAUCUCUUGCCUCCACCCCAACAUCAGGCACUCUAGAAGGCUCCAUCACAUCUACUGCCUCCACCACAUCUACUGCCUCCACCCCAACAUCAGGCACUCUAGGCCCACCAGCAGCAGUCCAGGGAAGAGCAGCUGUGGAUCCAACAAAAGGUUUUUCUUCAUUAGUGGAUGAUGGUAAGUGUUUUGUGUUAUAUGCAUGCUUCGUUUAAGCUGUCGUUCAAGGAUUUGGCGUGUGAAAUACCACAGAGGCUUAGAUACAGGUUCACAUGCUGCUAGACCUGCAGAACCGGAUGACCCCACUGUGACUGCUGCGAAAGCCACAGCGAAGGCCCUGUUGCCGGUCCCUGCCCAGCUGCUCGCCAUUGCCCCAGAGCUCGGGAUAAGAGAGCAGGAGCCCGAUGUGGUGAAACAAACACACAGAAAGGCAGUCUCCCGCAGUCCUUUGGAGUCUGUGAUAAGAGCAGGUCCAUCUCUUCCUAAAACAGGGUUUCCCCAGGUUUGAUCAACCCAAAUUUAAGACUUUUUUUAGACUUUUUUAAG